UCCCUCUUAGCUCAGUGGUAGAGCGCGUCACUUGUAUAAGGACGAAUAACUUAUACAGUAAUGACGAGGUCAGUCGUUCAAUCCGGCUAGUGGGA
rnacentral:tRNA from 1 species